AGAGUUGGUUAGUCAGUUACGAGCGCAACCCUUAUCCUUAUUUGCCAGCGCAUAAUGGCGGGAACUAUAAGGAGACUGCCGGUGAUAAACCGGAGGAAGGUGGGGAUGACGUCAAGUCAUCAUGCCCCUUAUGUCCAGGGCUGCACGCAUGCUACAAUGGCAAGUACAACGAGUCGCAAUAUCGCAAGGUGGAGCAAAUCUCUUAAAGCUUGUCUCAGUUCGGAUAGGAGUCUGCAACUCGACUCCUUGNAAGUUGGAGUCGCUAGUAAUCGCAAAUCAGCAAAGUUGCGGUGAAUACGUUCUCGGGGUUUGUACACACCGCCCGUCAAGUCACGGAAGUCGGCAAUACCCGAAGCCUGUGGUCCAACCCUUUUGGGAGGAAGCAGUCGAAGGUAGGGUCGGUAACUGGGACUAAGUCGUAACAAGGUAGCCGUACGGGAACGUGCGGCUGGAUCACCUCCUUUCU
rnacentral:rRNA from 1 species